rnacentral:rRNA from 1 species
UUGAGCCAGUUGCUACAGCAGUUGAGGGAUCGCUUGGCUCAGGAGCCGAUGAAGGUCGUGCCAAGCUGCGAUAUGCCCCGGGUAGGCGCAAGGAGCCUAUGAACCGGGGAUGGCCUAAUGGGACCUCCUGUCGCAAGACACUCGCAUUAGCGAGAGGUAACCUGCCGAAUUGAAGCAUCUUAGUAGGCAGAGGAAAAGAAAUCAAUAGAGAUGCGGUGAGUAAAGGCGAUCGAAAACCGCAUAGGGCAAACCGAAUCCCCAUGGGGAACCAUGGGGAGAUGUGGAGUUGUAGGCCCAGGUACAUCCCAAGCCAGAACCUGAAGUCCACUGGAACGUGGCGCCCAAGAGGGUGAUAGCCCCGUAGGGGUAAUGGUAUGGAUGAGUCCUGGGACCCUUGAGUAGCGUGCAUUGGAAAUUGCGCGCGAACUGGGACGCAUAGAGUUCCAACCCUAAACACUACCUGAGACCGAUAGCGCAAUAGUAGCGUGAGUGAAAGCUGAAAAGUACCCCUUACGGGAGGUGCAAAGAGCGUGAAAUCAACUGCUUACAGACUGAUACGGCGUGAAAGCGAAAGCAGCGUCGUAUCGUCCGUUUCGAAAAAUGGGCCAGGGAGUUCCUGGGCAUGGCGAGGUUAACCGCUUACGCGGGAAGCCGUAGGGAAACCGAAUCUCCGCAGUUUACGAGGGAGAAGGUGUGUUCGCCUCGAGUCAUGUCCACGAUACCCGAAGCCAGCCGAUCUAUUCCUGGGCAGGUUGAAGCCCUUCGAAAGAGGGGUGGAGGACCGUAGCAGUGCUGAUGUGCAAAUCGCUUGUGUGACCUGGGUAUAGGGGUGAAAGUCCAAUCGAGACUGGAAAUAGCUGGUUCCCGCCGAGACUGCUCGCAGGCAGAUCUUGGACGAGGUCGUCCGUGUGGUAGAGCGACUGAAUGUGGGUUUAGGGGGCGAAAGCCCUCGGCUCGCUAUCAAACUCCGAACAUGCGGACACUGUAGACUCCGGGUAGUGAGGGCAUCUGGGGUAAUCCUGGUGUCCAAAAGGGAAACAACCCAGCGUCAUGUUAAGGUCCCAAAGUUCCAGCUGAGUGUCAUGCAAACAGCGUCCACAGUCAGAGACAACCAGGAGGUGGGCUUAGAAGCAGCCACCCUUCAACGAGUUCGUAACAGAUCACUGGUCGAGAUUGUGGGCCUGGAAAAUGGACGGGGCUAUGCUGGACACCGAGACAUGACCGCACCGAAAGGUGAUCGGGUAGGCGGGCGCAGUGCAUGGGUGGAAGCAGGGCCGUAAGGUCCUGUGGACCGUGUUCUGACGAGAAUCCUGGUGAAAGUAGCAGCUAAAGUACGGUGAGAAUCCGUACCGCCGAAGGGGCUAGGGUUCCUCGACGAUGUUCAUCAGUCGAGGGUUAGUCGAUCCUAAGGUGUUCCUUAACCGAGAACAUCGAAAGGGAAGCAGGUUAAUAUUCCUGCACUUCGGAGGCAUUUGUCCGAUCUUUGACGCAUCCGGCUAAGCCUUGCAGGGUCGUCGCCCUGUACAAGCGUAUUAAGGCGGGGAAGAACCGUAAUGGUGAGAACCUGCCCAAAGCGUGAUGUGCCUCCCUCUAGGGAGGUUUGGCUGAUGCCAGGUGCCCGUGAAAAGAAGGUCGGGAUGUAGUCUUCGGAUCCGUACCGAGAACUGACACAGGUGCCCCUAGCUGAGAAGGCUAAGGCGUGUCGGCUUAAUCAAGGCAAGGGAAUUCGGCAAAUUAGCCCUGUAACUUCGGGAUAAGGGGUGCCAGCCCAGUGAACGGGCUGGUCGCAGUGACAAGGGCGCUCCGACUGUUUAAUAAAAACACAACGAGCUGCUAGUUCGAAAGGAUGUGUAUAGCUCGCGAAUCCUGCCCAGUGGCGGUAUCUUAAACCCCGGUUCAACGGGACGAAGGACCGCUAAACGGCGGGGGUAACUAUGACCCUCUUAAGGUAGCGUAAUACCUUGCCGCUUAAUUGGCGGCUUGCAUGAAUGGCCUAACGAGAGCGCCACUGUCCCUGCCUUGAGGCCGGUGAAAUCGACUUACUGGCGCACAGUCCAGUACCCUCUAGAAGGAAGCGAAGACCCCAUAGAGCUUUACUGCAGUCUGUCGUUGUCGUACGGUACUUGAUGUGUAGCGUAGGUGGGAGCCGUCGAAGCGCGCGCGCUAGCGUGCGUGGAGGCACCAAUGAAACACCACCCUUCUUGUGCCGUACGACUAACUCCGUCACCAUGCGGGGGACAUCGAUAGGUGGGCAGUUUGGGUGGGGCGCCACACGCUCAAAAAGAUAUCAAGCGUGCCCAAUGGUCUCCUCAACCAGGUCAGAAAUCUGGUGUCGACUGCAAGGGGAAAUAGGAGGCUUUACUCGGAUCGGCCCAAUAACGAUCGGAGUUGCGAAAGCAGGGCCUAGCGAACCAUCCAUGAUUAUCCAUGAGUCAGGAUGAUAACAGAAAAGUUACCUUGGGGAUAACUGAGUUGUCUUCAGUAAGAGCCCACAUCGACCUGAAGGCUUGCUACUUCGAUGUCGUCUCUCCCAAUCCUGGUGCUGCAGCAGGUGCCAAGGGUGGGGUUGUUCGCCCAUUAAAGGGGAUCGUGAGAUGGGUUUAGACCGUCGUGAGACAGGUUUGUUGCUAACUUCUAGAGGCGUUGAUGAUUGAGGGGAAAGGACCUUUAGUACGAGAGGAACAGGGUCCUGUGGCCACUGGUUUACCUGUUGUCCGACAGGGCAGAAGCAGGGCAGCUACGCCAUAAGCGAUAAGUGCUGAAAGCAUCUAAGCACGAAGCGCGCCCCGAGACGAAUCAUCCUAGGACCCCCGUAGAAGACGGGUUUGAUAGGACCGGGGUGUACGCACCAAGCUCACGCGAGGUGUUCAGCCCGCGGUUACUAAACGUCCAUGAACUGGCUCAA